CUCCCUCGCUCCCUCCUUCCUUCCCGCUGCGGCCUCCCGGAGCUCCGCGCGGGGUCAUGCGGAGGAGGCGGCGGCGGCCUGUGUCACGGUGACCGGCCCGGACUGCGGAGGCCCCCACCCCGAGCCCUCCGCACCGCGGGAGUAACUACUGUCUGAAGGAAAAGAGCCCAAUCAUGACACGUCCCGAGUUUCAAAGCAUGAAGACUAAUACACCUUGCGGGAACUCUCCAUCCACCCUAUGUAACCAGCAGAGCUGAACAGAAACUGCCGGCAUCCUGGGGAGAGCAUGUAUAAACGGGAUGGCCUGAUGGCCAGUGUCAUGGUCACCUCCGCCACUCCAGAGGGCAGUAGCAGUUCUGACUCUCUGGAAGGACGGAGCUCUGACUACGCCAAUAAAAGCUAUGAUGCAGUUGUAUUUGAUGUGUUGAAAGUAACUCCUGAGGAAUUUGCUAGUCAGAUAACAUUAAUGGAUAUACCAGUAUUUAAAGCUAUACAGCCAGAGGAACUGGCGAGCUGUGGAUGGAGUAAGAAAGAGAAGCACAGUCUUGCCCCCAACAUUGUGGCCUUCACCAGGAGGUUUAACCAGGUCAGUUUCUGGGUUGUACGAGAAAUUCUAACAGCACAGACUUUAAAAAUCAGGGCAGAAAUUUUGAGCCAUUUUGUGAAAAUAGCAAAGAAGCUUCUAGAUCUGAAUAAUCUUCAUUCGCUCAUGUCUGUGGUAUCAGCAUUGCAAAGUGCACCCAUUUUUAGACUGACAAAAACUUGGGCCCUUUUGAAUCGCAAAGACAAGACCACCUUUGAGAAGUUAGACUACCUAAUGUCCAAAGAAGAUAAUUAUAAGAGGACCCGGGAAUACAUCAGAAGCUUAAAGAUGGUCCCCAGUAUUCCCUAUUUAGGAAUUUACCUUCUGGACUUAAUCUAUAUUGAUUCAGCGUAUCCUGCUUCAGGAAGUAUCAUGGAGAAUGAACAAAGGUCCAAUCAGAUGAACAAUAUCCUCCGAAUAAUAGCUGAUUUACAGGUCUCCUGUAGCUACGAUCACCUCAUAACACUUCCUCAUGUACAAAAGUACUUGAAAUCUGUGCGCUACAUUGAAGAGCUUCAGAAAUUUGUGGAAGAUGAUAAUUACAAGUUGUCGCUGAGAAUUGAGCCAGGAAGCAGUUCUCCUCGGCUGGUUUCUUCAAAGGAAGAUCUUGCAGGACCAUCUGAGGAGUCGGCAUCCGUGAGGUACAGCAGAAGGCCCACCUGUCCAGAUGCCUCGAUGGCAGCCAGUAUGCCCACCCCUCCUGUUCCCAGGCACCGAAAGAGCCACAGCCUCGGAAGCAAUCUUCUGUGUCAGUUCAGUGUAGUUGAGAGUAAAAGUGCCACGUUCCCAUCGGAGAAACCUCGCCACCUGUUGGACGACAGUGUGCUAGAGUCUCCCAGUCCAGGCAGGAACCUCACAUUAAAUCCCGCGGUCACCAAUGGAGUCUCCAUAGGCAGUAGUGAAAGUUCAGAAUUUAGUGAGGAGCUGUCUUCAGGGCUUGAAAGGGGGCGCUUGUAUGCCACGUUGGGACCCAACUGGCGGGUUCCAGUUCGAAAUUCUCCCAGGACGCGAAGCUGUGUCUACAGCCCCACAGGGCCAUGCAGCUGCACAUUAGGGAAUUCAACUGGAGUCAUCACCAUGGAGGGGCCUUUAAGAAGAAAAACAUUAUUGAAGGAAGGCAGAAAGCCUGCGCUUCCCUCUUGGAGUAGGUACUGGGUAACCCUUUCAGGAUCGACUCUUCUCUAUUAUGGAGCCAAGUCUUUAAGGGGAACGGAUAGAAAACAUUACAAAUCUACACCCGGAAAAAAAGUCUCCAUUGUAGGCUGGAUGGUGCAGCUGCCUGAUGAUCCCGAUCAUCCUGAUAUUUUCCAGCUUAACAACCCUGAUAAAGGCAAUGUUUACAAGUUUCAGACUGGUUCAAGGUUUCAUGCAAUACUGUGGCACAAGCAUUUGGACGAUGCGUGUAAAAGCAACAGGCCUCAGGUACCUGCCAACCUUAUGUCAUUUGAAUAACUUUCGGCAGAUCUUGGUGUGAUUCAAAAGUGCCAAACUGCAGGAUGGGGAAUGCCACUCGCGCGCGCGCACACACACGCAAACACACAUACACUCACAUGCACACACACACACAGAGAAGAGAUCACUUCUUGCGAGCCAGCUGCCAGAUAGACUCACUUCUGCACCGUUUGGUGAAACUCGAAAGUGAUUCUGUUGUGAGCGAAUGUUGCCCGUAGAACUCGGAGAAUGUCCCGUGCACUGAACAGAACUGAUAUUUCAGACGGUGUAAAUCUAAAUAUGAGGAAAAGAUGAACUCAGUUGCAGGAUCUGCAAACCACGGAUUUUAACGUUGUGGUCAGCGACAACUGUGGCAAUUGUUGGACCACAAACUAUGUUUCACAUCCUCUGCCUAUUCUCUUUUUUAACACGCUCUUUCUAUUGUGAAGCUGCUUUCUGUGACUGAAGACAUUUAGCCCAUGUUGGGUUUUCAAUUCUUUCUAAUGCACAAAAUGAUUGACAGUGUUAACUUGCUGCAAAGUGUCAAUUAGAAUAGGAAAUUGUGGAACAACAUUUUUAUAACCUCAGUGCACUGAGCUGCUUGGCAAUGUGGCUGCGUCAGAUUUCGUAUCAAACCCUCACGGACAGUUCUGCUGGGGGCGGUUUGAGCUGUUUGGAACCAUGUAUUUUGGCACGAGAUUUACGACAUAACUUAUUUCAUUUGCUUGAUGGAGCUGCUUAUAAUUUAAAAAGGACUGUCUGAACAAGGCCUCUCGUGGAGAUUCCCUGUUGGAUUCAGAGUCUGACCAGGGCAGCGCGAAAGUGGACGAGGAGCCUCGUGGCACAGGCACAGGAGGGGGAUGACGAAUCCCUCUGAGGUGAGGAUGAGGAGCUUCCCCUCGCAGGGCACUGAGCUCGCUCCUGGGUCUUCAUGAUGGACGCUGGUGUGGCAGUGUCUAAUCGCACCGAGUUCCGAUCCCCAUUUCCCUGACUGCUGCCCCAGAUCAAUACCAAAAACCAGCCACCAGCAAACCUGCCAUCCAUCAGCCCGAGGAGGAGAGUCGGGGUGAACUGGGAGUCGGGAGCGGGGCCCCGGGUCCCUGAUGUGCCGAGGUCAUGAGCUCGCUCUUCCCAUGCCAGCCAGCCACUGUUGGAGCGGCCAGCGGUGCGCACUGCCAGAUAAGCAUUCUCCAUCUUUCAUAUAAUAAUAAUAACAAAAAAAAGCAGUGGCCUAAUGGAAAGGGCACGGGCCUGGGAGUCAGAA